rnacentral:rRNA from 1 species
GUCUAUGGCCAUGCCACCCUGAGCAAGCCCGAUCCCGUCUGAUCUCGGAAGCUAAGCAGGGUCAGGCCUGGUUAGUACUUGGAUGGGAGACCACCUAGGAAGACCAGGUGCAGUAGGUG